AAAAGGUUAGCACCGUCCCAAUCGAUGUCGAGCUCCCGACAUUAAACGAAGCGCUGCGUGGAAGGAAACCCACGACCUUUAAUCAUUUUAUUUUCUUUUUUGUUUGUUUUCAUUUUUAUUAUUUUUAUCCCAUGUUUGUUAUUAUUUUUUUUUGUCUUUUCUAUUAUUAGUAUUACUAUUACUAUUAUUACUACCUAUUCUAAUACUAACAUGUG
rnacentral:lncRNA from 1 species